AUCCAGCUGAUGAGUCCCAAAUAGGAUGAAACGCGGUUCAAACUGGAU
rnacentral:hammerhead_ribozyme from 1 species